AUGAGUGCUGGACUGUUACCAAUUGGUUCUAGAAGAGACCCCCUCAGAGCAGGUUCUCAGAAUUCAGCCGUGGGCUUUGUAUUGCACAUCACUGUAAUGGCUUAUUUAUUUAAGAGUAAAACAAACACAGUAAAUAUCCUUACCACACCCCAUGCCAAAAUACUGCAGAGGAAGAGAGAAGAUCAUAGCAUCCUGAAGACAGUCAUUAAAGAAGCUUUCUGCCCCAGCCCAUUGCCCGAUCCACCCUUGCUUCAGGUGCGCCAGGAUCUGCCAUCCCCCUCAGAUUUUUAUUCUACUCCUCUGCAACGUGGUGGCCAAAGUGGCUUCCUCCCCUCAGGUGGCCAAAGUGGCUUCCUCCCCUCCCCUGCCCAGCAGAUGCUUCUACCCAUGGUGGACUCACAGUUGCCUGUGGUGAACUUUGGCUCCCUGCCACCAGCGCCACCUCCUGCGCCACCACCCCUUUCUCUGUUACCUGUGGGCCCUGCUCUGCAGCCCCCCAGCCUGGCUGUGCAGCCCCCACCUGCUCCUGCUACUCGGGUGCUGCCUUCACCUGCCAGACCUUUCCCCCCUAGCUUGGGGCGAGCAGCGCUGCACCCAGUGGAACUAAAGCCGUUCCAGGAUUAUCGGAAACUGAGCAGCAACCUUGGGGGACCCGGGUCGUCUCGUACUCCCCCAGCUGGAAGGUCUUUCUCUGGCCUGAAUUCCCGUAUCAAGGCCCCGCGUUCUACUUACAGCGGUGUCUUCCGCACCCAGCGCAUCGACCUCUACCAGCAGACCUCCCCACCAGAUGCCCUGCGCUGGAUGCCGAAGCCCGGGGAGCAGGCGGGGCCCCCUUCCCGAGAGGGGCCUUCCCGACGGGCAGAGGAGCCUGGGUCCCGAGGAGACAAGGAGCCUGGGUUGCCCCCACCCCGCUGAGGGAGUUCCCCUUGCCCCCUACCCCCUGGGGCUUGUAUAUAGAUUAUAAAUAUAUAAGGGGGAAAGGGGUGGGGGGGGAGGGGUUGUGGGGCUGGGACCUACUUCCCCUCCACCCCCCUCCUCUGGUCCCCUAUCCCUGGGGCCGUUUGUUAAAAAAGAAUAAUAAAAGG